GCCCUACGGGGGGCAGCAGUGGGGAAUAUUGGGCAAUGGAGGAAACUCUGACCCAGCAAUGCCGCGUGAAUGAAGAAGGUCUUCGGAUUGUAAAGUUCUUUAGUUAGGGAAGAAUAAAAUGACGGUACCUAAAGAAUAAGCCCCGGCUAACUCCGUGCCAGCAGCCGCGGUAAUACGGAGGAUGCGAGCGUUAUCCGGAUUUAUUGGGUUUAAAGGGUGCGCAGGCGGAAGAUCAAGUCAGCGGUAAAAUUGAGAGGCUCAACCUCUUCGAGCCGUUGAAACUGGUUUUCUUGAGUGAGCGAGAA
rnacentral:rRNA from 1 species